CCUACGGGAGGCAGCAGUGAGGAAUAUUGGUCAAUGGACGAGAGUCUGAACCAGCCAAGUAGCGUGAAGGAUGACUGCCCUAUGGGUUGUAAACUUCUUUUAUAUGGGAAUAAAAUGUUUCACGUGUGGGAUUUUGUAUGUACCAUAUGAAUAAGGAUCGGCUAACUCCGUGCCAGCAGCCGCGGUAAUACGGAGGAUCCGAGCGUUAUCCGGAUUUAUUGGGUUUAAAGGGAGCGUAGGUGGAUUGUUAAGUCAGUUGUGAAAGUUUGCGGCUCAACCGUAAAAUUGCAGUUGAAACUGGCAGUCUUGAGUGCAGUAGAGGUGGGCGGAAUUCGUGGUGUAGCGGUGAAAUGCUUAGAUAUCACGAAGAACUCCGAUUGCGAAGGCAGUUCACUGUACUGCUACUGACACUGAGGCUCGAAGGUGUGGGUAUCAAACAGGAUUAGAUACCCCGGUAGUC
rnacentral:rRNA from 1 species